CACAAACAAGUGCUGGGUAGGAUGUGGAGAAAAGGGAACCCUGGUGCACUGUUGGUGGGAAUGCAGGCUAGCAGUCAUUUUUCCUUGUGAACUAAUUUUGAACUGAAUCUCAAAGCCACCAAAAAUGGUGAAAUUAAUUGAUCCUUUUUCUUGGGUAUAAGAAUUAAUCGAAGGUGAUCAGAGGCUGAGUAAUUAGCAUCACAAAUCUUUGGCACAAGGUUUACUAAAUUUAAAUUACAUUCAUUAGCAUCUCAAUUAUACCACCUUGGAUCCUUCUAGUUCUCCAAAUGAUACAAGUUUAGAAAUGAUAAGGAACAGAGAAAAUAGAUGCAAAAUCUAAAGAAGAAAUGUUUAAAAUUUAAAAUCAGUGCAAUAAUAAAGAAAAGCAAAAAAGUUAGGUGCAUAUUGGAGAUAUGUAGAAACUUACACUAAAAACAAUGAGCAAAUCAACUGUAUAUGGACAGUUGUAUGUAUAUGUAUAUGGACAUAGAUAGACAUAACUAUUUAUUAAAAAUAUGUAAAACAACCCUGGCUAGUGUGGCUCAGUGGGUUGGAGUGUUGUCCCAUAACUGAAAAGUUGCAGGUUCAAUUCCCUAGUAGAUAUGUUUGAGCGAGAGGCUAUAGUGUGAAGAUUAAAGGCUUCAUUACCAACUAGAAAUAUGUACUUACAUGGCUAGAAACAAAUAGGCUUGAUAAAUCAACGGUAAUAAAAGAUCCCCUAACUUUCAAAAAUAAUCAAAUAAAAAAAAUACAUUGUAGUUCUUGUUUCUGCUUGUUUCUGCACUUUCCGGAAGAGUGGAUUAUAAGGCUUAUCCCUGAGUACCAGGAUUCAGUCAGUAUAAUGAGAUCUUGUGAACACCAAGUAACACAAUUGAAGAUAAAAUGAAUCUUUUAUUACACUAAAUAUGUAGACAGUAUUUUCGUCAUGCUCCAACAGAUUUCUCUAGAUAGUUGUUUCAUUCUCUCAGAUUUUAUUUCCAUGGAACUGAUGUAUUCAGGGGCUAAAGUGUAAGAUUUUUGAAAUCUAUUUCCCAUUACCUGCUUUAUUCUGCUGAAACAUAUUUUAUGUUUUAAGACCUUGUCCAACAAACGCAAUAGCCACCCGAGGGGUUAGUCACAGUCAGAGGGUCCAAACGUCGGAGGUUCAGAAGACGGCCCAGGGACAGCUGCGCCCUGUGUCGGGUAGGCGUGGAUGGCAGUGGGCAGGCAGCCGCUGCCCUGCUGUCAUGGAGCUUACCGUCUGGUGGCGGAGACAGAACGGACUCAAACAAAUGUAAAACUGUAACUAUGAUCGGAGCUUCAAAUGAGAGUUGCAUGCCACCUUAAGACUGUGUCCCUUGAGCCCCCAACUUCAUCAGCGCAGUCAAGGAAGGCUUCCUAAGGAGGUGUCCAUGGAGCCGAGACCUGGAGAAUGCAAAAGAGAAAACAUGCCACACGUCAGUCUGUUGGGGAAGGUCAUCAAGAAGGCAUGACUGCAGGCUUGACCCAAGAGCUGGACUCAGGGAAUUGCAGGCUCCCCCUUCCUCCCCGUGCUUGGAAUGUGCUCUCCGCGUCCCUCCCUCGUACUAGAAGCUGCCGAAGGACACAGCCCUGAGACAGCCAUGUGAUGAUGAGCCUGUGUGGGCUGGGUACUUGACUAAACCCAGUGAAGGCCCCCUGUGGACACGACUGACCCCAGUGAAGGCCUCUACAUAAACUUUUAAUGUUGGGCCAGCCGAUGCACAAAAUGACGUGUGGCCGCCCACGGCAGGUCACCUGAAUUCCCUGGCUUAUUAAACCUGCCACCAACUAACCGGCAGUGGUUUGCCUUUCUCUUUGGUCUCUGCUCUCCAUCUCUGGGGUCAAUUUCAAAUGACUCCCUGAAAGCUCCCAAGGAAGUUGCAACCUACCACAGUCCUAAUGUUUGUUUUGUUGCCAUGGGUGAAGAGCCAGAGCGCAUGGGUCUGAAUCCCUUGCAGAACCCUCCGCUUGCUGCGCGGUUGCUGGAUCCAGUAUUUCGUUUCCCCGUGCCCUGGCUUUGUUGUGUGUAACAUGGAAAUCAUGAGGGUACCUGUCUCCGUCGGUUUCCCAUUUCCGCUAUAACAGAUUGUCACACCCUGAGGAGCCUAAAACAACACGGGUUUAUGAUCUUCCAGUUCUAGAGGUCAGAAAUCCAAAACGGGUCUCCCUGGAUCCACAUUGGCAGGGCUGUCUGUAUUCCUUUCUGGAGGCUACAGGGGAGAAUUUGUUUGGGGUUUUGUUUGUUGUUUUUUUGCUGCUCCUUGUUUGUUUUCUUUUUGCCUCUUCCAGCUUCUGGGGGCUGCCCACAGUCCUUGGUUCUUGGCCGUGUUCCAUCUUCUAAGCCAGCAGUAGAGUGUCUUCAAGCAUGUCUCUGCCUCUGACCCCGACCCUACCCCCCUCUUGCACUUACAAAGGGCCCUUGUGAUUACAGGGGACCCACCUGGACAAUCCAGGACACACUCCCCAGCUCAAGGACAGCGGAUCAGCAACCUUAGUUUUAUCUGCAGAUUCGCUUGCCACGGAAAUAACAUACAAGUUCCAGAGCUUUGAACGUGGCGAUUAUUCUGUUUACUGUAGUGUGUCAUAGGGUUACUUUAAGGAUUCAGAGAGUGAAUACAAGUGAGAACUCACUAAGUGUUAGCUAUUGUGGUUUCUUUUAUUGUUUUGUUGAAACUAAGAAAGUUUUACAAAUUUAAUGUACUUUAAAGAGUUAUUUUUGGGAAAAAGACUUGGACUGCUUAAAGGAAACAAAUUAGGCUUCACAGAAUGUGAAAAAAAAUAGAAAUUCAAGGUCAGCUUAUCUACUGGAGCACUGUAGUGCUUGCUGAAUAGAUUGUUCGCUCAAACAGAUGAUUCAAAGAACACUUAUGUUUGAGACUCUCGUCUGUGUUAUCCGCUAAUUGCUACUCCUCUGAAAUUGAACUGUUCAUUUCUUCUCUCUUGUCUCUCAUUAUUCACAAAAGGAUGUUGCAUCUUUCCAGUUCUUCAGAUUAUGCCCAAUUUAGAAACGAUGAAGAAGAAAAAAUAUAUAACAUUCUAAAAGAAGUGGUUAGAAUUUAAAACCACCACAAUAACAAGAAGAAAAGCAGAAAAUCAAGUGAGAGAGAGAAAAAAACACAUUUUAAAUCCAGUAAGGGACAAUUGAGGUUAUCAAUUUAGAGAUGAAAAAUAGUCUGUAGCUUUAAUACAUGUCAUUGUACGUUUAUUUCAAUGUUUUCUGAUGUGGUGCAUUUUUGUCACAAAUUGAUAGCAAUUAAGACAUUCUUAAAUUCAAAAUUAUGGACUCUAGAUUCUUCUGGAAGUAGGUGCUCAGUAAAAGGCUUCGUGGAUGAAUGAAUGAAUGAAUGAAUGAAUGAAUGCCAUAUCUGAUGGGCCCUAAAGGUUGCAAAGCAGGAAUCUGCGAGGUACAAAGAUGUGGACGCGUUUGGUAAAUUAUCCGGACUCCUGCUGUCGGUCCUGCCAGGUUGUCAGUGCCCUCCUUGGCUCACACACACUGUGUGGGAACCGAUUCAACACCCCGCAGAACGUGUUCAAAUAAAUCCUCUUUCUGUGUCAGAGAAACUGACGAUGGAAAUAAUGCUCACAAACUAAUAGCUAUGUAGGGAGUGCGCCCAGCUACCUGUCAGGUACCUUGUUAACAACUUUGCCGUGAUCUUUUCUCGUUGCCACAACAACCACUGGAAGAAAUUCAUUUUCUUCUCAUGUUAUUGAGGGAGAUAUUAAAGCAUAUACAGUAGCUCUUUCUAACUGAAAUACAAUGUGAGUUGUAUUUCACUCACAUUUUUAACUUUCCAGGAGCCACACUUUAAAAAUUUU